ACAUAUUAUAGUAAAAAUGGAAAAAGUUAAAGAGAGGAUUCUAAAGGCAGCAAAAGAAAAGAAAGGCAUUAAUUAUAAGGGAAGCCCCAUAAGGCUAUCCGCUGAUAUAUUUGUGAUUUGGUUGAAUGUAGCUCAUGUGACUUGGUUAUAUAGGAACGCUCUUGUGCUGCGCCAUCUCCCAGAGGAAGGCUGAGUCCCCUGGUCUCAGAGCUCUCAGGUGUCCUGCACAUGUCACCUCCCAGCUACUCUCCCUGCCCUACCCCCGCCCCCAUGAAUUCUGCUCCAAAGAUUUUCGAGUCUAUUUGCAUGGAGCUGUUUGUGCUACAUAGCACUGCAUAAAAAUAGGUCAAUCUGCCUUCUGCAUCCCCCCCCCCCAGGCUGUGGCCUCCCCAUUACUUUUUUUUUUUUUUCAGGUCGUGGAUUGGAACUUGCCAAAUUGUUCUUGGAAGAGAGUCAGAGGCAGAGGGCAAGCAGCGGGGAGAGAGGGGUGGGCAAGCGGGAUGCCAGGCUGAAGCACACCCCAAGGUCACCAGGUUCCCUCUCCCCUUCUUUUGGGGAGGAGGGCUCUUGCCCUCCCCAGGAUCACAGGCUGGCAGGGGUGGCUGGCCGAACUGGGGUGGGAGAGCUGUCCAGCUCGGUCUGGUUCACCCCACCUUGUCCCCAGCUGCUCUGCCGCACCUGGGCACAGAAAAAGAGCGUGAGCCAGAGAUGCAGGAGGUAGGUCAGGUGUGUUUGCCCGAGCCAGGGGAGGAGCCUUGGAAAUACCUGUCUCCAGGCCACAGAGAGGAAGAACGGCCACCACUCACCAUUAGUGUGAUUCAUUGCUGUCACAGUUGAACUCCAGGGGGCCAGAAUCAGCCAGCUCAAGCCAAACGGCUGUUGAUUUUAUGGAGCCAAUCCCAGCCCCGUGCCUGGUUGCACAAUAGUGGGGCACCUGCCAAGGCAGUGAUGGCAGAGCAGGUGAUGCUGCGAUCAGGUGUCCUGAAGGACUUGGGGUGGUAGGGGCUACUGGGGGGGUGGGCCCCUUGCACCGGCUAGAAGGGUGGGUUCUAUCUCCCAGCUAGGCUUGGAGGUGGUCCAGUGGGGCAGAAAGAAGGCUUGUGUUUCCUCUAGUUGUGUGAGCUGGGGCAGACCUCAGCAUCUUUGUCAGUUUCCCUCUCUGCAAAGUAAAGUUCUUCUUAGGCAUCUGAGGAUGGGUGGGCUCCUGUAUAACCCUGGAAGCCUUGGUUUUCUCAACUAUACAACAGGUCCAUCAAUAUCUUUCCUGUACCUUACAAGGUCAAAGUGAUGCAAUGGACAUAAAGACAUUGAAAAAUUUACAUGUAGGUCUUGUGCUAUUGUUGACUAAAAAAGCCCUUACACAACCUAAACAUUGAGAAUUGUGUUUUAUUUGGGUUAUAACCCAAGAGACAGCCUCCUGGAUAGCUCUGAAGAACCGUUCCAGAGAGAUCAGGGAGAAGUCGAGAUAGAGCGGUGUUUUUACUGAAGCAAACAAACAUGUAGCUGAGCAGGAAAACAUUACUGCUGAUCACAAAAGCCAGGCUCCCAAGUUAAUGAUUUUAGUGCCUUUCUAGGUAAGGGAAGAUGCCAGAGUCUGGGCUCAUGGAAAUGAUUUCUUUGCUAUGCAUCUUAUCUAGGGCUGGUAUCCUGUUUUUCUCCAGCCUGUAUUUCCCUCAGAGGCACCAUCCCCAGCAGUGGCCGCUGGUUUGAGGGUGGGCAACAUUAGCUGUUUACUGGAAUGGCAGACAACAUUCUUUGUUUACCGAAUUGGCAAGCAAUUUUAUUUUCAUCCACAUUGUUAAUAUUUAUAUUAUCCUCCAUUUCCUUACAUGCUCUUUCUUUGAUAGCAGGGUACCUCUUCUGUCUUUUAGACCUGGGUUCAAGUUCUGGGUUGUCCUCAUACCAUUGGUGUUUUCUCCUAAGAUGGGUAUCACAAAACCUGCUUGCCUGAGUCGUUGGGAGGAAGACAGCAGAUCAAAGAGGCAAGAGCUCUUUGGAACUACUGGGAGCCAUAGAAUGGAUGGAAUUGUCAGCAAGUGAGGAGAGAUGGACACCAGACUCCGUGAAGACAGACAUUUAACAGACCCCAUGGUCUGUGUCCUGGAUGAAGCCAGAAUAGACCUGGCAGUCUGUGAAAUAAAUGACAAUGAUGGUGACAAAGCCAGAUGUGAGCCAUUUGGGCCACAUCAGUGGACUCCAGAAGGUCAGGAGGAAGGGCAGGAGCAGCGGGGGGUGGGCUUGCUCCAGGACGUGGUGAGCUUGGAGCUGCUUCUCAGAGAUAAGGAGAGAGGUGGAAGAAGAACUGCAGCUGGAGAGAAACAGCCUCCGCUCUAGUUCAAGCCCAGACGUGAGUUCUUAGAAAAGUCAAGAAUGUAUUUCUCUCCAGGGUAUUCACUGCAGGAGAGGUGGGUCAAACGGGUUUGCCCUUGUCACCAGCUGUAGAAACAGAAGAGGACGUCCCCCUCUCCUGCCUGCUCAGGGAGCAGAAAGGCCUGGGUGACCUUGACUCUUGAGUACAUUGCCCUUUGGCAGCUCCCAGGACCUGAGUGCCCCACAGCUCGGGCCGUCUUGAAGCCAAGAAUUAAGGAGUGGACCCUCCAGGGCUCACCUCCUCCCAGCCCUGCCUUAUAACACCCCAGUGACCCUGGCAUGUGCAGCCACAGCAGGAGCCAGGAGCCAGCGUUCCUUGGGGUUCAGGACCUCCGGGCAGCACAGAUGGGGCCAAGAGCCAUCACCUUCCCUUCUGAGUGACCACGUGUGUGCUGUACAGCCGAGGACGGACCUGAGCCGGGCAUCAGGGCUUUCUAGGGGCUUCCAGCUGCUCUCCAGCUGCAAGCCAACAUCAGGAGGAUGGACUGGGGACCUGGAGUCCAAGGCUGGCCCUCUGCUGGGCAGCACCCCCGCAACACGCCUGGAGCCAGGAGAGGGGGAGAAGGAUCCCUUCUCAGGGAGGCUGGUGAUGAGGGCCUUUGCCUCGUUGCUGGUUCUCAAGCAUCAGGGAGACAAAGCUCAGCUGAUGUCCCAGCCUGUCAACUCCACCAGCCCAGCAGUGACCACCCAGACGGCUGCCCAAGGUCGAAGAGUCAGGGGAUGAAGGAAGCUGCUGGGAUUGACGGGGCAGUCGAGGCAUAGUGACUGAGGGCUCUGUCCCUGUGGAUGGGACAGUGCUGAGGGGAGGCCUGGGAGUGGGGACUACCCCUCCAUAGCUCCAAAGAGCUCUUCGAUGUCUGGCUCUCCUUGAAAACAGAAGAGCAGGCCCUUCCUCCAGCCUGGAACCAUCAGACAAAGGGAAAGGGCUUGGGGGGUGGGGUGGGGACGUCUUUGCCCUGUAGUCCGUCUGGGACAGAAGAGUAGUGCUCCUGCCCCGUUGGCCCCAUAUCCCAGAAAAGACCUGAAGAACAAGAAGUGGGGCUGGAUGCCAGCAGGGGACAGCCACGUCGCCUGGCUGGCUGCUGGGGAGGAAGGGAAGUUUGAGGAUGCCGGAUGGGUGAGAGGCUGGCAGAGACCACGCCGAGGGUCAGGGACAGAAAGGUGCUCCGAGAGGCUGCUUUAAAGAUCACCCUGCGGGGGAAGGGAUUAUCCCGAGUGUCCUUGGCUCCUGGCAGGCCAGCUCCGGGGGAGGGUAAAGAAGUUGGCACUUAUCUGGCUCCUCUUGGCCAGGCCUGCUCCCUAUAUCAUCUCUAUUCCUGCAACAAUAGAGACACUUGCAAGGCUUGGUCAGGGAGCGGGGGCUCGGCUGCCUCCUGCGUCUCCAGAGCGGGCUCCUGGCUCCAGCGGGGAGAUGGCCCCACACCUGCCUUCCCACCAGAAGGGCCGUCUUCUGGCCCAUCCCCCGGGGCACCCACUGGCAGCCCUCAGAGGCCUCAUUAAGCUGCUGGAGUCUCUGGCUGGGGCCCUGAGGUGCAGCAGGCGGGCCUGACUUCACAGCUGAGGUAAGUCCUUGGGGGCUAAGAGAAGGGUCUCGGCUGUGGAAGGGCAGGUGGCACAUGGGGUCCCUCUCCCAGCCCCAGCUGCUCCCCACCUCUGCCCUGCUAUCCGGUGACACCGGGGGCUGCAGCUGGUGCCUCGGGCCCAGGGCCAUGGUCUGAGAGCAUUCCCGCCCCACCCAGGGCAGCUUCCAAGGGGCUGCUGCUGUUCUGAACAGUCUCAGGGGACUCCCGGCUCCAGAACGGGCCCCUCGAGGCAGGACACAGCAGGGCCAAGGCCGACAGGGCUCGAGGAAGAAGUGGAGCUGAGGAAGGGGUGGGGGGACCCCCACAUGCCCCUGAGUGUCUCCCUCCACUGGUACCAGCCUGGGGGCAGGUGGCAAGCUGGGGCUCUGAUUCCGCUGGCUCUGGCUAGUGCCCU